CAAAAGCAGCAAGCAUUCGCAAGCAAGCAAGUUAAACGGGCGCCGUCCAAGGUAUCCUACGAGGCGGCGGGGGGACCCUCCCAGAGUGCGUAAUCCCCUUCCUCACGUACUUUUUCUUCAGUGCCCCCAUCUGCAUCUGAGGUAUCCUCCGUGGCGGCGCGGAGACCCUCCUAGAGUGCGUAAUCCCCUUCCUCACGUACUUGUUCUUCAGUACCCCCAUCUGCAUC
rnacentral:lncRNA from 1 species